rnacentral:rRNA from 1 species
AACAGGAUUAGAUACCCUGGUAGUCCACGCCGUAAACGAUGAGUGCUAGGUGUUAGGGGGUUCCGCCCCUUAGUGCUGCAGUUAACGCAUUAAGCACUCCGCCUGGGGAGUACGGCCGCAAGGCUGAAACUCAAAAGAAUUGACGGGGGCCCGCACAAGCGGUGGAGCAUGUGGUUUAAUUCGAAGCAACGCGAAGAACCUUACCAGGUCUUGACAUCUUCGGAUGUCCCUAGAGAUAGGGAGUUCCCUUCGGGGACCGAAUGACAGGUGGUGCAUGGUUGUCGUCAGCUCGUGUCGUGAGAUGUUGGGUUAAGUCCCGCAACGAGCGCAACCCUUGAUCUUAGUUGCCAGCAUUCAGUUGGGCACUCUAAGGUGACUGCCGGUGACAAACCGGAGGAAGGUGGGGAUGACGUCAAAUCAUCAUGCCCCUUAUGACCUGGGCUACACACGUGCUACAAUGGAUGGUACAGAGGGAAGCAAAACCGCGAGGUCAAGCCAAUCCCAUAAAACCAUUCUCAGUUCGGAUUGUAGGCUGCAACUCGCCUACAUGAAGCCGGAAUCGCUAGUAAUCGUGGAUCAGCAUGCCACGGUGAAUACGUUCCCGGGCCUUGUACACACCGCCCGUCACACCACGAGAGUUGGCAACACCCGAAGUCGGUGGGGUAACCAUUUGGAACCAGCCGCCGAAGGUGGGGCCAAUGAUUGGGGUGAAGUCGUAACAAGGUAACC